CAUUCAUACAGUCACAUUGAUAAAGAAGAGAACCCUGCUCUAAUAACGCAUCGACUGAAAUUGCUAAAAUCCACGGAGAGAGAAUAGAGGGGGAAAGAGAGAAGAUAAAAGAGAGAAGAGAGGGAGAGAGAGAGAGAACAUUACCGAUUAUAUUUACAGAACUAAUUCAUGAAAAACAAAAAUCCUACUCUAAGUAAGAGAAAUUUUAUAAGUAAGAGCAUUCAUGCAAUCCCAUUCAUGAGGAAG
rnacentral:lncRNA from 1 species